rnacentral:tRNA from 1 species
GAAUGCUUAGCUCAGCCGGUAGAGCAGCUGACUUUUAAUCAGCAGGUCGUGGGUUCGAACCCCACAGCAUUCACCA